UACGAAGGGGGCGAGCGUUGUUCGGAAUCACUGGGCGUAAAGGGCGCGUAGGCGGCCCUUCUUGUCGCGUGUGAAAGCCCCGGGCUCAACCUGGGAAUGGCGCGCGAGACGGGGGGGCUGGAGUUCGGGAGAGGAGCGUGGAAUUCCCAGUGUAGAGGUGAAAUGCGUAGAUAUCGGGAGGAACACCAGUGGCGAAGGCGACUUCCUGGCCUGUUCUUGACGCUGAGGCGCGAAAGCUAGGGUAGCAAACGGG
rnacentral:rRNA from 1 species